rnacentral:rRNA from 1 species
UACGUAGGGUGCAAGCGUUAAUCGGAAUUACUGGGCGUAAAGCGUGCGUUAGGUGGUUUGUUAAGUCUGGAUGUGGAAAGCCCUGGGCUCAACCUGGGAAUUGCAUUGGAUACUGGGCAGGCUAGGAGUGCGGGAGAGGAAAGUGGAAUUCCUGGUGUAGCGGUGAAAUGCGUAGAUAUCAAGGAGGAACACCGGUGGGUGUAAACGGCUUUCUGGACCGUAACUGACGCUGGAUGC